rnacentral:lncRNA from 1 species
GGAGAGAAUCCGCGCGCUGAGAAGAUGUCCCCGCGUCCGCCGCCUCCCGGGGCCACGCGCCGUCCCAGCUCGCGCCCGCCAGCUCCCGGCGCCGCGGCCCGGCACUAGGACCCCAUAAAGGAAGGAGGGCGCGCCGGCGGCGGCGCCGCACUUACCGCGCUCGGCUCGCCCGCGCCGCCGGCUCGCUCCCCGGCAGCAGCCGCCGCGUCCGCCCGAGCCGCGCGCACACCGCGCCGGGCCAAAUUCAAAGGAGCCGGGCGCGGGGGAGGGGGGCCCCGCCGAGGGAGCGGGGAGCGGGCGCCGGCGGGGCGGGGGCGGGGAGGGGGCGCGAGUGUUACAACUUCCUUCCCUGCCCGCCCCCGGCCGCGCGGCCCGGGGACGCGGGAGGGGAGGGCGCCCGCGCGCCAAUGAGUUCACUUUCUUUCUCUCCCCCGCGCUCCCCCUCUCCCCGCCCGCCGGCCCCUCCAGCCUCCUCCAAGGCGGCGGACCAGGCCGGGCCGGAGUUUUCGGGGUUCAGCCCGCGAGCGGGAGGACCGGGGAGGCGAGGGAGGAGGAAGGCGAGAAGGGCCAGAUCGCGGGAGAGCCCAAUCACGGGGCGAGCUGGACCUGGCUGUGAUCAUUUAUAAUCCUUGACUCCUCCGCUCCGCCACUUGUCAAGAUGACAGGGGUCAUCCGUGAAUAACACUUCACGCUGAUGAAUGGCUCUUGCCGGCUUUCGGCUCUGAUGAGGGGUCUGCCCGCCGCCGAUUGAAAACACUAAUGAACUUACUGCGCCAUUUGAAAUUCACACGCACCAACAAAAUGGGGGGUGGGCAUUUCAGGUCAGCUGAGUCACCCGAGGAGGUGGCAGUGCAAGACACUGCCGGGAAGACGGAUUCCGAGGCAGAAGGGUGUAAUUAAGGAUUUCCACCCCCGGUAGGCGGCCCGUCCUUUGCAGAGCCUCUGAAAAUGACCCGCGCCUUCCUUUCCACAGUGUUCUUUCGUCCGAGACCGAAAAGCGCAAAUGACCUUUGGACAGGGAAGGGAGGCAGUAAACACUCAGACUUCCUUACCAGCCCCUGGUGGGCACUGCAGCAGAACAAUUGUCUGCCCCCCAGGUUCAAGCACCUAGGCCUCCGCCCCGCAUCACCUGGCCAGGGGCGGACCCGGGAGUCCUCCGAAGGCUCCACUCCCCACUUUUACUACUCUUCUUUCCUCUCCAUUCUCCCCUCAGAUUAGCGGCCGGACACUGUCCCUGCCUCGAUUUUGUUUGCUGUGGGAGGGAAAAAAAAAGUUUGCUGCUCCUCCCAAGACACUGGCCACUUUCUACUCACUGAAGUUCCCACCGCAGCGCUGGCUCCCGGCUCCCUAGCUCCCGCCCCCUGUCUGCAGGAAAGCCCUCCCCCGGAGCUUCCGAAACUGCUGGAGGUUCCAGAGUUUUGUAGCUCCGAAUGGGCGACCUGAGCCGAACCGCUCUCUGGCUGGGUGGUCGGCGGGAUCCUUCAGGCUCCUUUCGGGUCCGGGACGGGGCGGCGGCAGAGGUGGGGCGUGCGUGCUUGGGGCUGCCGAGUGAGUGCGGCUCCCUGGUGCGCGCCCGAGCAUCUCCCCGCCCUCUCCUGGGACCAGCAGUCUGCCCGUGGAGGGCUAGGAGCCCGCGACCAGGCCUGCCCCGGCCGUCGCCAACCUGUCCUUGGAAGCGUGGCGGAGACUGGUGCGCUCUCAGCCUCGUCGCGCCAGCCGCCUCGCGCCACCCUCCACUUUCAGCUUCAGAGCAGAGGAUUCCGCCGACCUCCACCUGUACCUGUACUCGGCCGUUAGGAAAUCCACUUGCAUUUUUAACUACCGUGCAGAACCAGAAACAGAUCGAGCACUGGGAGAACAAGGACGACGCCUCCUAGGAAAGCCUGAACCUUUAUGUUAGUUUAUCCAAAGUUUGGGCUAGAAGUGAGGAGAAUCCCUAAACUCGAGGUGGUGUGCCCAGACCCACAGCCCGUGUUCCCGAAGUUGCUAAGUGCCCGAGCGCAGCGCGUUAAGUAGAGAAGUCUUGGUAGUAAGCGAACCCGACCCGGCUCUCGGGGCGCUAGUGACGGAAAGCAGCACGCAUAUCUUUGCGGGAAGAAUCUAGAGUCGCCCUGGGAUAGAUCCAUCUCCUUCUGCCACUGAAUUUCACACUUGAAAAAGAUAAGGUCAUGGGGGCGGAUGAAUGAUAUCCCUCACUCAUUUAGCCAUUCUUAUUAUUAUAUAAAAAAAAGGCUUGUCAAUUAUGAAGGUGUGUCCCAGAUAUUACAUGAAGAUCAUGCAAACUACUUGAAAUUUGAAUCCGGACAUGAUCGUAAGGAAACUCUUUCAUAAAGCACUUUUGUGGCCUAGUUCCCACACACACACAAAAGUAUUAGGUCUUUAAAACUUUUCCAAGUAGUAAGUGAGACUCCCUCUUACUGUCUACGAAUACACAAUAAAGAGAUGAGACACUGCCCCAAUCCUAAAGAGGCCAGAACUGAAGUGCUACAUUGUGUGAGUUAGGGGAUGCUUCUUUUUUCCAGCUCUUUUUUCUAGAAUCCUCAUUACAGCUAACGCUGGUAAUAAAGGUAGGAAAACAAUAGAACUCAUAAAACUUAGAAAUGGUAAUAAAUCUUGGCUCCUGUCUCUAGCCCAGUUCCUUCUUACAUGAGAUUCAAAGUUUUUCAGUAUGCAAUGCUGAACGUUCACACUAUGGUUGCAAAAUAGAAAAAAAUACUCUAGAACUCAUUAAUACGGCCCUGCGCACUCUAUGCCAGGCGUCGCUGGUGGACAAAGCGCGCAGGGGUCCUCCUCUACGUCUGCCUGCGCCUGUAAUCCAGGCAGCUUACGUGUGUUAAAUUUGGGUCUCUCUCUGUCUCUCACACAAAGAAGUUCCAUCAUUUGAGGCCGUUAGGAAAAGCUGAUGUUGUGCAGUGCCAAACUACCACACGCUUCCUCCUUCGGAUGAAUCCCUGGAAAGCAGAGAGGCAGCUCGCUACGUGACCAUCAUGCUUUUUACCUCACUGAGCUGUUGUCAAGAGAGGGCGGGGAUGGCGGGCAGCUCACGUCGUGCCCUCCGCAGCAAUAAAAACUGGAGCGGGAGAAGAAAUGCAAGACAUCGCUGUCUGUUUUGCAAGCCUCUGGCCGCUCUCAGCAAACUCUGCCCGGCGCGGCUGGUGACUUUGCGGUGUGAACGCAGCCGGUCGUGCUCGGGAUAAUGGGACCGAGCUGGCGGCAUCGCCCUCCCGUGGGCCCCUCUUGCCACACAGAUGCGCAGCUCUCCAAAAGGAAAAUGUGGCCCAGCAACCCUCGCCUAGCCCUAGUCCUAGGAAUGCAUGCCUGGGGCCUUUGGAAGCCUCUCAAAGGGCUGGGGGGCGGGGGGGAGGGAUAUAAUGGGCCGAACCUCUGGAUUCAUUUUGGGGAAGAGGAGACAGGUUCUUGCCCCACUACUGAGGCAAGGCCAACAGCACCCUGCCCUGCUGCUCCACCGCCUCCCCGCGGGUCAAGUCUCAGCCGAGUGUCGCUGCCCACCUGAAGGUGACACCUGUCCAUUUUAGUCAGCAUCACAUGCGCCUUCCCUUUCUCCCCUUUGGGGUCUGUCCGUUUUCUCCUCCUGUCCUAAAGAGCCAGCUUGGAACUGAAGGGGCCGGGUAGCAGCUGUUUGUGCCUCUUGCCCGUGCAGACUCGAGGGUCUCCGCAGCCACUUCCUCCUUUAACACGCGAGGCUUUCAGGCGUGCAGAAGGGGACCGCCGGGUCAGGCAGGUAUUAGGCUCUCCAAGGACACUUGUGGACAUCACUGGAGUUUACCUAUUGUUUGGACUUUAUUACAUCUGCUUUAGCAAACGGAGGCAUGAGCGGCCUGUCUGCUGGGUUCAAACCCAGUUGCUGCCCCGGCUGCAACCUCUCCCACUCAAGAGACCCUAGGAACGAUGAGGAACGGGGUAGAAAUGACCAGGGGAGCCAAAUCUCAGGUACCGAGACCUUCCAGCUCACCCCUCAGGCUCAGGAAAGCCAAUAACCCACAUAUGCCCAAAAGGAGCUUAUGUCUCAACUGAGAACAGCAAAUAGGUGAUGGGCCACUUUAGAACAGAGGCUAAAGGCUGGUAGCCACUGAGCAAAACCCAAAUUCUAGGCACCUGAGGUGUUUCCCUUACACAAGUGCCUUCACAGGUAGCAAGCAAUUAAUCUGCAACAGUGAACAACACUAAAACUUAAAUUUUACAUGGAAGUCUCUCAAGUAGACAAAGUUAUUAUUGGGUGGGGUUUUCCCCCCACUGGCAAAAAAAUAACUUAUCCCUUGGCUGUUAGAUUGAGGGAACUAUAAAACAAAUAUUUUAAUUCGAUCACUGACAAAGUCAUAAAAUUCAAUGACUGUUUGUAGAGGAAAACAUGCUUUCAUUAUCUUAAUUAAAGCAAGAUAAGCCUCUCUCAAUGUGCAUGCAUUUUGGAGCCACUGAAUGGACUGGUGAUGAGACGAAGCAACCUUUAAUUGGGACCAUGCUUCUCCAGUACAUUCGUUUGUAUUCCAUGGUGUAAACCGGGCCUUACGCGUGGCUCCGACCUUCGGUGGAAAUGCAUUUGCGUAGCACCACCCAGGGGCUCCCUUGCUUUGGCUAGAGCCUCAUAAAAGACCCCAGGUUUUGCGAAGGAUUUUGAACACCAGCGUCUUUUAACAUGUGGAACUUUCGGUUUUGGUUUAGCUCUGUGAACGUAUUUAAAACUUGCUACAUUAUUCCACAGUGAAAGUUGGAACCUUUUUAAGAGUUAUCAUAGAGUGCCUUUUAACAUCUGUCAUAUUUUCUAUAAACAACUUUUCAGUGAGAAGCGUAUAUAGUGUACUCGAGGUAGGCAUUAGCUGCUGGCAAGGUUUAUGAUACAAUAGUGACACUACAGGACAAUUUUUUAGUCAAACAACACCCGUUAGAUAUUUCAGGGUCCAGCUUAUAUGUUAACUUGUAAAUAUAGGUUAAAAAUAUAGGUAUCAAGUGACUAAAUUCAGUAUCAGACAAAUUGAACAUCUUUUUAUUUCCCAGAAGUGCCCUACUCUUUCUCCUCCCUUUGGUGACCUCUUAGUCUGGAAUGCUCUGCAUCCGGGGCCCCUGGAACACAUAGUUUUUAAAGUACCUAUUAGUGAUACUCUCCUCCCGUUGGCAGUGCUUCCACUGUGUUUUCUGCAUGUAAUAAAGGAUGGCACUGUUUUUUGCAUAGGUCUUUCCUAAUAGCUGAGCACUCUUGGAGUGUAGGGGCUCAACCUUAUGCCUCUUUGGACACACAAGCCUAGCCCAUGGGCUGGCAUAUAGGAGCUGCUCAAUAAAUGUUUGUUGAACGAAUGAGUGGAUACACGAAUAAAAUAUUUUCAUUGUCUUUAGCCCCUCUGACUUUCUUUUUUAAACAGGGGUAUGUCAUAAAUAAAAUUUACCUUGAAAAUGCAUUUAAGUACACUGUUCUACUUCUCUGACCAUGAAGUUUUUAAUGGGACAUCGUUUUAAAAUUCUGGUCAUUACAACGAACCACUUUUGACCUUGGUUGACUUUUCUCAGAAUCAUAAUGCGAAGUAAAGACAAAAACAAUGAGAAAAGGCAAAGAGAUCAAAUUUUGGUUUUCUCUUUUUCAGUAGGAUAUGAUGUUUAUCGAAAUUUGGAAACAAAUUGUAGCAAGCACCUAUAACAUGUAGAUACUCAUGUUUUUAUAUUAAAUAUGACAUUAUUUAUAAAACCCUGUCGUCCUCCAAAUUCCCUUUGGAUUUUUAGUGGUAAGAAGUGUAGAGCCUAAGAUGACUGCUUUUCAUUUCUUCAAGACAAGGGUUCAGCUGGUAUUGGGGAAACAAUCUUUGUUUGUUCCUGUCUGCUCAGGAGGACUGUUUCUAAUUGAUCUGGCAUGGAAUUUAGUUGGAGAUGUGUAUGUUGCAACUGAAGCGCAGAGCCUGUGUGCUUUGUAAAGUGAUAACCAUAUGGGCCUUAUUUGAAACAUUUGAGGAUUUUCGACAUUAACCUGGGUUAAAUUGAGCUAUAAAUUCAACUCAAAUGUAUAUGUCCUGACAAAUUCAUCAUCACUUUGGAUAGAUUCAAUCCAUGCUUCCCUCAGAUUAAUAAAGAUGAUGACCGCUUAUCACACAUGCAAAGAUUCGUCGUGAUAAAGUACCAUAAUGUUGUACUUUGCACUGUUUAAAUGCAAAUUGCCCAUAUUAAGCAGACCUUUUCUACUGUUAUCACUUUCAGUAGAAUGGAAAUGUUUAAAAAUGAUCUCUGGGUAAAGAAAAGGAUAUAUAGUCAAAUCUAUUUCCUCUUACACCAUUUGCAAGUGCACUUCGCUAUCAUCAUGAAGAUUUAAUUAAGCAAGCUCAGCUAGGCUAAAAAGCAAAGAGGCUGAAAGUUACUACUUAUAGAAACAUAUUCAGGACUUACACAAAAUAAUUUAUUUACUAUUCUUCAUUUAGGGAUUUGAGCAACCACUGAAGGUUAAGAAUACAACAGAAUUCUAUAGCUCCUUUCCCCUAUUUCUGAAUAUCAAAUUUAGAGCUUAGACUUUGUUACAGAUAAUAGUACUAAGUUAUGGAUGUUGAUGGGUCUUCCCUUGCAGCUUUAAAUUGCCUUGAAAAAGAUACAGUUUCUUUAAUUAAAAAAGCUGCACAGAACUAAUCCCUCUAGCUGAAAAAAGAAAAGUUUUAAGCAAUCUCUUUCUGCUCCGAGAGAGAAAGGCAGACAAUACCAUAACAGAUCAGAAACAUAAGCUAUAGUGUGCAGCCAGGAGCACAGCAGGGAACUGAAUACUGCUCCGACUGUGUCAUUUUUUAAUCCCCCAUCCCAGUUUUCCCCGUCUGACCUCAUGCUGAGAUGAAGUUAUCACAGAAGACAGCUUUACUCUCACCAAUGAAUCCAACCCUGGAUCUGUAUUAUCCUUAGCAGAUCAAAACACCGCUUUCAUCAAAUAGCAUUAUCUGCAUAAAAGGCAUGCAAUUGCCUGAUAAUUUCACCCAAACUAUGCUAUUCAUUUAAAGGACAAGAAGAGAAAUGUAAUUCAUUCCUUUUUGGGGGGGGGGAGGUGGCAGAGAAGAGUGAGACUUGGGGAGAGGCAGAGGCUGGAAAAGCUAACUUAUCCCCUUCACUCAUGGGAACUUUCCUGUUUUUAACACAAAAUCCCAAGAAGGGGUCCAUUUAAAAGUCCCCCUACUCCUGCGCUUUAAGAUUAAUUGUUGGAGCAAUUUGGUGCAGUUUGAGUGACAAAAGUGUAAGUUGUGUAGAAAACUGGCAGUGAGAAAUUACAAAGCUUGCUGAUGUCAUUAGCCAUGCUUCCAUGAACCCCAAUAAAAACAUCAUAUCCAGUAAAAUUGGAGAAGCACAAGAAUUAGCUGGACAAUUGGAUGAAGUUUAACACAACGUUGUAUUGGGUGGGGGGGGAUGCUGACUGGAGAUCUUUCUGUGCAUUAUGAGAAGUUUGAAUCCUUACAGUGGGAAGACAAAAGACAGAUUCCACAAUUCUGAGUUGACACUUUGAAAAAUAUUUAAGAAAUCUUAGGCGUCAAGACUAGCUCUUUUUUAAAAUUUAGAAAAUACUUUAGCCUCUUUCAGAAUGCCUUUUUCAUCUUAUGUUGAAACAGUGUUCUCAUUUGCAUUGUAGAUUGUAUAAGCUGUUAUAAUGGGCUUCUCUUUAAUGGAUCCUAACUCCUUAUUGAAUGACAUCAGUUGUUUUGCUCAAGGUAUGGUGAUAGGUUAGAGCAAUCAGCCAAAACCAUUUGUGUCAAGUAAAUGGAAUUACUAAGAAGUACUAAAACUCCCACGUGAGUAUGGGUGACCUAUUAGGUAUGUGUUAAUAUCCUUAUCAUAUGUUUUACUCACCGUAAUUUCAAUGAUUUUGCUUGAAAAUGUAAAUCUUCCACCCAGCCCUUUCAGAACUCACUAUGUAAACUGACCCUGCAAGAAAUUCAGUUUAAUCUCUACCCUUCCAUCACCCAGACAACAUCUAUACACAAAAAUGUGUAGGACAAAGAAUCAGAACUGCUUGAAAAAAGAACAACAAUAGCAUGCUUCAAAUCAGAGGCAAGGAACACUCCUGGAAAUUCAUGAG